CGUGCACUGGUGGGGUCCCUCAGCCUGGCCUGUGCCCUCUCACAAUCUGGAAUCCUUCAGGGGAUGUUGGACUGCCAGUUUUAGCCCAAUCCCUGCAGGCCAGGCUGAGGGGCCCCACCAGUGCAUG
rnacentral:pre_miRNA from 1 species